AAAGGCAUGGUCCUGACCUUAUUAUCAGCUCUUACUCAACUUACACAUGCAAGUAUCCGCACCCCCGUGAAUAUGCCCUCAAUCCCCCACCCGGGGACCAGGAGCGGGCAUCAGGCACAAAAUUUAGCCCAAGACGCCUAGCCAAGCCACACCCCCAAGGGAAUUCAGCAGUGAUAAAUAUUGAGCAAUAAGUGAAAACUUGACUCAGUCAGAGUAAAUGAGGGCCGGUAAAACUCGUGCCAGCCACCGCGGUUAAACGAGAGGCCCCAGUUGAUAUUACUACGGCGUAAAGGGUGGUUAAGAAACAUAAAAUGAAAUAAAGCCGAACAGCCCCCCGGCCGUCAUACGCUUCCGGGCGCUAGAAGCCCAGCUUUACGAAAGUGGCUUUAAUAUAAUAUACCUGACCCCACGAAAGCUGAGAAACAAACUGGGAUUAGAUACCCCACUAUGCUCAGCCAUAAACCCAGACAUUUACGUACGACCACAUGUCCGCCAGGGUACUACGAGCAAUAGCUUAAAACCCAAAGGACCUGACGGUGCCUCAGACCCCCCUAGAGGAGCCUGUUCUAGAACCGAUAACCCCCGUUAAACCUCACCACUUCUAGUCAUCCCAGCCUAUAUACCGCCGUCGCCAGCUUACCCUGUGAAGGUAAUUAUAGUAAGCAAAAUGGGCACAACCCAGAACGUCAGGUCGAGGUGUAGCGCACGAAGUGGGAAGAAAUGGGCUACAUUUUCUAUUAUAGAAUACUACGAAUACGCAACAUGAAAUAGUGCUUGAAGGAGGAUUUAGUAGUAAAAAGGAAAAAGAGUGUCCUUUUGAACCCGGCUCUGAGACGCGUACACACCGCCCGUCACUCUCCCCUGUCAAAAUGCAAUAUUUUUAUUUAAUACAAGAGCGCCGACAAGGGGAGGCAAGUCGUAACAUGGUAAGUGUACCGGAAGGUGCACUUGGAUAAAAUC
rnacentral:ncRNA from 1 species